UACGGAGGGUGCAAGCGUUGUCCGGAAUCACUGGGCGUAAAGGGCGCGUAGGCGGCUCAUGAAGGCUGUUGUGAAAGCCCCGGGCUCAACCUGGGAAUGGCAAUGGAUACUGGCAAGCUAGAGUGCGGUAGAGGGUAGUGGAAUUCCCGGUGUAGCGGUGAAAUGCGUAGAGAUCGGGAGGAACACCAGUGGCGAAGGCGGCUACCUGGACCAGCACUGACACUGAGGCACGAAAGCGUGGGGAGCAAACAGG
rnacentral:rRNA from 1 species